UAACAUUUUUAUCUUAUAAUAUGGGACAUUAAUUACAUGAAAUUUAACUCUUAACAAAAACAAAUCUGUGGAAAACAAGACAUCCAUCAAUAUUCUUGGGUAUCAUGUUGGUAAUGGCGUCAUCAAACCAGAUGAAGAAAGACUUAAACCUCUACAGGAAUUUCCUCCUCCCACCAAUGUGCGUUCUCUAAGA